GGGUUGUGAGGUUAAGCGACUAAGCGUACACGGUGGAUGCCCUGGCAGUCAGAGGCGAUGAAGGACGUGCUAAUCUGCGAUAAGCGUCGGUAAGGUGAUAUGAACCGUUAUAACCGGCGAUUUCCGAAUGGGGAAACCCAGUGUGAUUCGUCACACUAUCAUUAACUGAAUCCAUAGGUUAAUGAGGCGAACCGGGGGAACUGAAACAUCUAAGUACCCCGAGGAAAAGAAAUCAACCGAGAUUCCCCCAGUAGCGGCGAGCGAACGGGGAGCAGCCCAGAGCCUGAAUCAGUGUGUGUGUUAGUGGAAGCGUCUGGAAAGGCGUGCGAUACAGGGUGACAGCCCCGUACACAAAAAUGCACAUACUGUGAGCUCGAUGAGUAGGGCGGGACACGUGGUAUCCUGUCUGAAUAUGGGGGGACCAUCCUCCAAGGCUAAAUACUCCUGACUGACCGAUAGUGAACCAGUACCGUGAGGGAAAGGCGAAAAGAACC
rnacentral:rRNA from 1 species